rnacentral:rRNA from 1 species
UACAGAGGCCUCAAGCGUUGUUCGGAUUCAUUGGGCGUAAAGGGUGCGUAGGUGGCUUGGUAAGUUGAAGGUGAAAUCUCGGGGCUUAACUCCCGAAACUGCCUUCAAUACUGCUGAGCUCGAGGACUGUAGAGGAGAAUGGAAUUCACGGUGUAGCAGUGAAAUGCGUAGAUAUCGUGAGGAAGACCAGUGGCGAAGGCGAUUCUCUGGGCAGUUCCUGACACUGAGGCACGAAGGCUAGGGGAGCAAACGGG